rnacentral:rRNA from 1 species
UACGAAGGGAGCUAGCGUUGUUCGGAAUCACUGGGCGUAAAGCGCGUGUAGGCGGCUCAGUCAGUCUGGUGUGAAACCUUGGGGCUCAACCCCAAGCCUGCACUGGAUACUGCUGAGCUUGAGUCCGGGAGGGGAGAGCGGAAUUCCUAGUGUAGCGGUGAAAUGCGCAGAUAUUAGGAAGAACACCGGUGGCGAAGGCGGCUCUCUGGAACGGUACUGACGCUGAGACGCGAAAGCGUGGGGAGCGAACAGG